rnacentral:tRNA from 1 species
AUAGCGCGACGGUAGAGCGUCUGACUCCAGAUCAGAAGGCUGCGGGUUCAAAUCACGCU